rnacentral:rRNA from 1 species
ACGCACGCUGGCGGCGUGCUUAACACAUGCAAGUCGCACGGAAAGGCCCUGCUUUUGUGGGGUGCUCGAGUGGCGAACGGGGGAGUAACACGUGAGUAACCUGCCCUUGACUUUGGGAUAACUUCAGGAAACUGGGGCUAAUACCGGAUAGGAGCUCCUGCUGCAUGGUGAGGGUUGGAAAGUUUCGGCGGUGGGGGAUGGACUCGCGGCUUAUCAGCUUGUUGGUGGGGUAGUGGCUUACCAAGGCUUUGACGGGUAGCCGGCCUGAGAGGGUGACCGGCCACACUGGGACUGAGACACGGCCCAGACUCGUACGGGAGGCAGCAGUGGGGAAUAUGGCACAAUGGGCGAAAGCCUGAUGCAGCGACGCCGCGUGGGGGAUGACGGCCUUCGGGUUGUAAACCGCUUUCAGUAGGGAAGAAGCGAGAGUGACGGUACCUGCAGAAGAAGCGCCGGCUAACUACGUG